rnacentral:rRNA from 1 species
GAUGAACGCUGGCGGCGUGCCUAAUACAUGCAAGUCGAGCGAACGGGCGAGAAGCUUGCUUCUCUGAUGUUAGCGGCGGACGGGUGAGUAACACGUGGAUAACCUACCUAUAAGACUGGGAUAACUUCGGGAAACCGGAGCUAAUACCGGAUGAUAUUUUGAACCGCAUGGUUCAAAAGUGAAAGACGGUCUUGCUGUCACUUAUAGAUGGAUCCGCGCUGCAUUAGCUAGUUGGUAAGGUAACGGCUUACCAAGGCAACGAUGCAUAGCCGACCUGAGAGGGUGACCGGCCACACUGGAACUGAGACCCGGUCCAAACCCCUACGGGAGGCAGCAGUAGGGAAUUUUCCGCAAUGGGCGAAAGCCUGACGGAGAAACGCCGGGGGAGGGAUGAAGGGUUUCGGAUCGUAAAACUCUUUUAUUGGGGAAAAAAAUAUGUGAAAGUAACUGUGCAAAUUUUGACGGUACCAAAUCAAAAAGCCACGGCUAACUACGU